rnacentral:rRNA from 1 species
GACGUAGGGCGCGAGCGUUGUCCGGAUUUAUUGGGCGUAAAGAGCUCGUAGGCGGCUUGUUGCGUCGACUGUGAAAUCCCGAGGCUCAACCUCGGGUCUGCAGUCGAUACGGGCAAACUAGAGUAUUGCAGGGGAGACUGGAAUUCCUGGUGUAGCGGUGAAAUGCGCAGAUAUCAGGAGGAACACUGGUGGCGAAGGCGGGUCUCUGGGCAAUAACUGACGCUGAGGAGCGAAAGCGUGGGGGAGCGAACAGG